rnacentral:rRNA from 1 species
AGGGAUCAUUACCGAGUUUACAACUCCCAAACCCAAUGUGAACGUUACCAAACUGUUGCCUCGGCGGGAUCUCUGCCCCGGGUGCGUCGCAGCCCCGGACCAAGGCGCCCGCCGGAGGACCAACCAAAACUCUUAUUGUAUACCCCCUCGCGGGUUUUUUUUUAUAAUCUGAGCCUUCUCGGCGCCUCUCGUAGGCGUUUCGAAAAUGAAUCAAAACUUUCAACAACGGAUCUCUUGGUUCUGGCAUCGAUGAAAAACGCAGCGAAAUGCGAUAAGUAAUGUGAAUUGCAAAAUUCAGUGAAUCAUCGAAUCUUUGAACGCACAUUGCGCCCGCCAGUAUUCUGGCGGGCAUGCCUGUCCGAGCGUCAUUUCAACCCUCGAACCCCUCCGGGGGGUCGGCGUUGGGGAUCGGCCCUGCCUUGGCGGUGGCCGUCUCCGAAAUACAGUGGCGGUCUCGCCGCAGCCUCUCCUGCGCAGUAGUUUGCACACUCGCAUCGGGAGCGCGGCGCGUCCACAGCCGUUAAACACCCAACUUCUGAAAUGUUGACCUCGGAUCAGGUAGGAAUACCCGCUGAACUUAAGCAUAUCAAUAAGCGGAGGAAAGAAAACC